rnacentral:rRNA from 1 species
GAUGAACGCUGGCGGCGUGCCUAAUACAUGCAAGUCGAGCGAACAGACGAGGAGCUUGCUCCUCUGACGUUAGCGGCGGACGGGUGAGUAACACGUGGUUAACCUACCUAUAAGACUGGGAUAACUUCGGGAAACCGGAGCUAAUACCGGAUAACAUGUUGAACCGCAUGGUUCAACAGUGAAAGACGGUCUUGCUGUCACUUAUAGAUGGAUCCGCGCCGCAUUAGCUAGUUGGUAAGGUAACGGCUUACCAAGGCAACGAUGCGUAGCCGACCUGAGAGGGUGAUCGGCCACACUGGAACUGAGACACGGUCCAGACUCCUACGGGAGGCAGCAGUAGGGAAUCUUCCGCAAUGGGCGAAAGCCUGACGGAGCAACGCCGCGUGAGUGAUGAAGGUCUUCGGAUCGUAAAACUCUGUUAUUAGGGAAGAACAAAUGUGUAAGUAACUAUGCACGUCUUGACGGUACCUAAUCAGAAAGCCACGGCUAACUACGUG